UUGGGUGGUUAAGUUCUUGUGGUAUGGAAGCAUACUUCCAGAGCUAAAUCUUGCAUAACUUAUUCUACCCGAGCAUAACUCCCAAGGACCAGCAAUGGAUUUCGGUUUAGCAUGAAUUGCUUUCCUAACUGAUUCAUCAUUUAGCCACGCAGUUGCAAUUUCAUCAUUAAAGCACAUGACACUGCCAUGCUGAGCAAGUUCAGGCCACAAGGUGCCAGGUUUGAGUUGCCCACGAAGAGGCCAAGCACGGCCAAACAUUCUCUUUCUCACUUUAAGAGGUCUCUCCGUUACCCCUAAUUGCCGG
rnacentral:misc_RNA from 1 species